rnacentral:rRNA from 1 species
GACGAACGCUGGCGGCGUGCCUAAUACAUGCAAGUAGAACGCUGAAGGAGGAGCUUGCUCUUCUGGAUGAGUUGCGAACGGGUGAGUAACGCGUAGGUAACCUGCCUGGUAGCGGGGGAUAACUAUUGGAAACGAUAGCUAAUACCGCAUAAGAGUAGAUGUUGCAUGACAUUUACUUAAAAGGUGCAAUUGCAUCACUACCAGAUGGACCUGCGUUGUAUUAGCUAGUUGGUGGGGUAACGGCUUACCAAGGCGACGAUACAUAGCCGACCUGAGAGGGUGAUCGGCCACACUGGGACUGAGACACGGCCCAGACUCCUACGGGAGGCAGCAGUAGGGAAUCUUCGGCAAUGGACGGAAGUCUGACCGAGCAACGCUGCGUGAGUGAAGAAGGUUUUCGGAUCGUAAAGCUCUGUUGUAAGAGAAGAACGAGUGUGAGAGUGGAAAGUUCACACUGUGACGGUAUCUUACCAGAAAGAGACGGCUAACUACGUG